GAUGAACGCUGGCGGCGUGCCUAAUACAUGCAAGUCGAGCGAACAGACGAGGAGCUUGCUCCUCUGACGUUAGCGGCGGACGGGUGAGUAACACGUGGAUAACCUACCUAUAAGACUGGGAUAACUUCGGGACACCGGAGCUAAUACCGGAUAAUAUAUUGCACCGCAUGGUUCAAUAGUGAAAGACGGUUUUGCUGUCACUUAUAGAUGGUUCCGCGCCGCAUUAGCUAGUUGGUAAGGUAACGGCUUACCAAGGCAACGAUGCGUAGCCGACCUGAGAGGGUGAUCGGCCACAUUGGAACUGAGACACGGUCCAGACUCCUACGGGAGGCAGCAGUAGGGAAUCUUCCGCAAUGGGCGAAAGCCUGACGGAGCAACGCCGCGUGAGUGAUGAAGGUCUUCGGAUCGUAAAACUCUGUUAUUAGGGAAGAACAAAUGUGUAAGUAACUAUGCACGUCUUGACGGUACCUAAUCAGAAAGCCACGGCUAACUACGUG
rnacentral:rRNA from 1 species